GAUGAACGCUAGCUACAGGCUUAACACAUGCAAGUCGAGGGGAAACGACAUCGAAAGCUUGCUUUUGAUGGGCGUCGAGCGGCGCACGGGUGAGUAACGCGUAUCCAACCUGCCCACCACUUGGGGAUAACCUUGCGAAAGUAAGACUAAUACCCAAUGAUAUCUCUAGAAGACAUCCGAAAGAGAUUAAAGAUUUAUCGGUGAUGGAUGGUGAUGCGUCUGAUUAGCUUGUUGGCGGGGUAACGGCCCACCAAGGCUACGAUCAGUAGGGGUUCUGAGAGGAAGGUCCCCCACAUUGGAACUGAGACACGGUCCAAACUCCUACGGGAGGCAGCAGUGAGGAAUAUUGGUCAAUGGACGAGAGUCUGAACCAGCCAAGUAGCGUGCAGGAUGACGGCCCUAUGGGUUGUAAACUGCUUUUAUAAGGGAAUAAAGUGAGUCUCGUGAGACUUUUUGCAUGUACCUUAUGAAUAAGGACCGGCUAAUUCCGUGCCAGCAGCCGCAGUAA
rnacentral:rRNA from 1 species